CAGCAGCCGCGGUAAUACGUAGGGGGCUAGCGUUAUCCGGAUUUACUGGGCGUAAAGGGUGCGUAGGCGGUCUUUUAAGUCAGGAGUGAAAGGCUACGGCUCAACCGUAGUAAGCUCUUGAAACUGGAGGACUUGAGUGCAGGAGAGGAGAGUGGAAUUCCUAGUGUAGCGGUGAAAUGCGUAGAUAUUAGGAGGAACACCAGUAGCGAAGGCGGCUCUCUGGACUGUAACUGACGCUGAGGCACGAAAGCGUGGGGAGCAAACAGGAUUAGAUACCCUGGUAGUCCACGCCGUAAACGAUGAGUACUAGCUGUCGGAGGUUACCCCCUUCGGUGGCGCAGCUAACGCAUUAAGUACUCCGCCUGGGGAGU
rnacentral:rRNA from 1 species